rnacentral:rRNA from 1 species
AUUGAACGCUAGCGGGAUGCCUUACACAUGCAAGUCGAACGGCAGCGCGGACCUCGGUCUGGCGGCGAGUGGCGAACGGGUGAGUAAUGUAUCGGAACGUGCCCAGUAGCGGGGGAUAACUACUCGAAAGAGUAGCUAAUACCGCAUACGCCCUACGGGGGAAAGGGGGGGAUCGCAAGACCUCUCACUAUUGGAGCGGCCGAUAUCGGAUUAGCUAGUUGUUGAGGUAAAGGCUCACCAAGGCGACGAUCCGUAGCUGGUUUGAGAGGACGACCAGCCACACUGGGACUGAGAAACGGCCCAGACUCCUACGGGAGGCAGCAGUGGGGAAUUUUGGACAAUGGGGGAAACCCUGAUCCAGCCAUUCCGCGUGUGCGAUGAAGGCCUUCGGGUUGUAAAGCACUUUUGGCAGGAAAGAAAUCGCAUCAAUUAAUACUUGGUGUGGAUGACGGUACCUGCAGAAUAAGCACCGGCUAACUACGUGCCAGCCGCCGCGGUAA